AGAGGGUGCAAACGUUGUUCGGAAUUACUGGGCGUAAAGCGCGUGUAGGCGGCUAUGCAAGUCGGAUGUGAAAGCCCUCGGCUCAACCGGGGAAGUGCACCCGAAACUGCAAAGCUAGAGUCUCGGAGAGGAUCGUGGAAUUCUCGGUGUAGAGGUGAAAUUCGUAGAUAUCGAGAGGAACACCGGUGGCGAAGGCGGCGAUCUGGACGAUGACUGACGCUGAGACGCGAAAGCGUGGGGAGCGAACAGGAUUAGAUACCCUGGUAGUCCACGCCGUAAACGAUGGGUGCUAGGUGUCGCGGGCUUUGACCCCUGCGGUGCCGCAGCUAACGCAUUAAGCACCCCGCCUGGGAAGUACGGCCGCAAGGCUA
rnacentral:rRNA from 1 species